AAAGAUUCUCUUUAUGCCCAGGGAAAGCGGCGUUAUGACAGGAAGCAGAGUGGCUAUGGUGGGCAGACUAAGCCGAUUUUCCGGAAAAAGGCUAAAACUACAAAGAAGAUUGUGCUGAGGCUUGAAUGUGUCGAGCCCAACUGCAGAUCUAAGAGAAUG